AGAUCCCUGCCUACCUGAGGUCUGCUGAAGGCAGAAAUGUAAAGAAAACAUUUCUCGUACUGCUGAAGACAUGAAAGGUAGGAUACAGAAUAUGAAAAAAGGCUUGGAUCUCCUCCACUGCUUCAGACACAACUGGUCUGUCUGCAAAUGAAGAGCUGCCCCUUCUUCUAGAAGGUCAAUACCAGAGGUGGUGGAGAGGGAUGAACCAGCUUCGGUCUGGCUGGGGUGGAGACGUGCUCCAAGUAUCAGAGAUAAAGAGCCUCAGUCUCUGAGGCUUACAGCAGUGCAACUCAUCACUUAAAAGGCUUCCAGAGGAAAGCAGGUGUCAGGUUGGUCCCUAGGAACCAAGCAGGGGUUCCCCUUCACUUGUGAGCAAAAGGGAUUUCCACAUUUGAAAUACACAGAGAUGCCACAGCCUGACCACGAG
rnacentral:lncRNA from 1 species